rnacentral:rRNA from 1 species
GACGAACGCUGGCGGCGUGCUUAACGCAUGCAAGUCGAACGGAAAGGCCCUGCUUUUGUGGGGUGCUCGAGUGGCGAACGGGUGAGUAACACGUGAGUAACCUGCCCUUGACUUUGGGAUAACUUCAGGAAACUGGGGCUAAUACCGGAUAGGAGCUCCUGCUGCAUGGUGGGGGUUGGAAAGUUUCGGCGGUUGGGGAUGGACUCGCGGCUUAUCAGCUUGUUGGUGGGGUAGUGGCUUACCAAGGCUUUGACGGGUAGCCGGCCUGAGAGGGUGACCGGCCAAAUUGGGACGGAGAUACGGCACAGACUCCUACGGGAGGCAGCAGUGCGGUAUAUUGCACUAUGGGCGGAAGCCUGAUGCAGCAACGCCGCGUGCGGGAUGACGGCCUGCGGGUUGUAUUCCGCUUUCGCCUGUGACGAAGCGUGAGUGACAGUAAUGGGUGAAGAAGCACCGGCUAACUACGUG